rnacentral:rRNA from 1 species
CUUUUGAUGGCGACCGGCGCACGGGUGAGUAACACGUAUCCAACCUGCCUCAUACUCGGGGAUAGCCUUUCGAAAGAAAGAUUAAUACCCGAUGUCAUAGUCCUACCGCAUGAUGGGAUUAUUAAAGAAUUUCGGUAUGGGAUGGGGAUGCGUUCCAUUAGUUAGUUGGCGGGGGUAACGGCCCCACCAAGACAACGAUGGAUAGGGGUUCUGAGAGGAAGGUCCCCCACAUUGGAACUGAGACACGGUCCAAACUCCUACGGAAGGCAGCAG